AUACGUAGGGGGCGAGCGUUGUCCGGAAUGACUGGGCGUAAAGGGCGUGUAGGCGGCUGGAUAAGUCUGGAGUGAAAGUCCUGCAUUCAAUGUGGGAAUUGCUUUGGAGACUGUCUGGCUUGAGUGCGGAAGAGGUAAGUGGAAUUCCCAGUGUAGCGGUGAAAUGCGUAGAGAUUGGGAGGAACACCAGUGGCGAAGGCGACUUACUGGGCCGUAACUGACGCUGAGGCGCGAAAGCGUGGGGAGCGAACAGGAUUAGAUACCCUGGUAGUCCACGCGGUAAACGAUGAAUGCUAGGUGUAGGGGGUAUCGACCCCUCCUGUGCCGGAGUGAACACAAUAAGCAUUCCGCCUGGGGAGUACGGCCGCAAGGUUGAAACUCAAAUGAAUUGACGGGG
rnacentral:rRNA from 1 species